rnacentral:rRNA from 1 species
UGCGUAGGCGGGCUAAUAAGUCAGUGGUGAAAUCUCUCGGCUCAACCGGGAAACUGCCAUUGAUACUGUUAGUCUUGAGUUCGGUUGAGGUAGGCGGAAUGUGUAAUGUAGCGGUGAAAUGCUUAGAUAUUACACAGAACACCAAUUGCGUAGGCAGCUUACUAGACCGACACUGACGCUGAGGCACGAAAGCGUGGGUAGCGAACAGGAUUAGAUACCCUGGUAGUC